UACGGAGGGUGCGAGCGUUGUCCGGAAUCACUGGGCGUAAAGGGCGCGUAGGCGGCUGGGGAAGUCGGCGGUGAAAGCCCGGAGCUCAACUCCGGGUCGGCCGUCGAGACUCCUCGGCUCGAGCUCACUAGAGGCAGAUGGAAUUCCGGGUGUAGCGGUGGAAUGCGUAGAGAUCCGGAAGAACACCGGUGGCGAAGGCGGUCUGCUGGGGUGAGGCUGACGCUGA
rnacentral:rRNA from 1 species